CAACAAUGUCAUCAGCCAGCUGAUACUCACUAAAAGCAUGAUGGCCACAUUCAUGGCCGAUGACCCAAAGACCAGUGAGAAUGCAGCCUUGGAAGAGCCAGUAAACCAGCCAAGCGACAUACGAGAGCGGAGAAGAGAUGUAAGGGAAGAAGUUGGUGGCGAUCGAGUAGAAAAGAAAACUUAAGCAGACAUCAUAGGCAACAUAGGAGAAUGAGCGCACAAAAGAGCGUUCAAAGCAAUGGGGUGGGAUGGCUCUCUUGAGGUCACCAAGUGUGAAAGGAGGCUUCGUGUGCGGCGCUCGCUUAAGGUGGCUGCUUCCUCCUUUCUUCUCACUGUUGUUGCUGGUUAUGACAGUAGACAUGCGACCACCACCUCCCAUUCUUAAGCUCUUUUUUAAGCACUUUCCU
rnacentral:lncRNA from 1 species